AAAUAAGAGCGAGGUCAAAGAAAAAGAAAUGGUAUGCCUCAGAUGACGAUUUGUCCUCGUAUUCAGAUGGAAGUGGGAGUGAGAGUUCUUCUGAUUAUGAGAGAAAGAGUAGUAGUAGGAAGACAAGUAAGAAGAGAAGAAGCAAGGAUGGAAAAAGUAAAGAAAGAAGCAGAAGAUCUUCAUCUGAGUCUGAAAGUGAAAAAAGGAAAAGAAGUAAGAAAGAUAGACAAAUUCGGAACGAGGAUGAUGAACUGGAAGAUAACUUGCUUGGUAAGCAUAAAUUCAGUUAUUAUCCACUUAAUUACGAAUAGCCCUUUCCCCAAGAUUAACUGAUGGAGUAAUUUAUUGCGUUAUUUUCCUUUGGUGGAAUUUUAAGAUAAUGACACUGGUGGAUCUAAGUCGCGUAAUGAUUAUGAACUUGUGAGAAGAGAAAUGGGGUU
rnacentral:lncRNA from 1 species